rnacentral:rRNA from 1 species
CCCUUAGAUGUUCUGGGCGGCCCGCGCACUACAAUGGCGUGUGCAGCGAGUGCCGAAGUAGAGUUUUCCGAGGUAUUCUUGCAAUGCUCGUUUUGAUGGGGAUAGACCCUUGCAACUGUUGGUUUUGAACGAGGAAUUCCUUGUAAGCAUGGUUUAUCAUCCGACGCUGAAUGCGUCCCUGCCCUUUGUACACACCGCCCGUCGCUCCUACCGAUGAGUCGUCCGGUGAAGUUCGUAUACCUCGUGAUCGCGGAUCACUGGGGGAAGCAAAAUGAACCUCGCGGUUUAGAGGAAGGAGAAGUCGUAACA